rnacentral:rRNA from 1 species
GAUGAACGCUGGCGGCGUGCCUAAUACAUGCAAGUCGAGCGAACGGACGAGAAGCUUGCUUCUCUGAUGUUAGCGGCGGACGGGUGAGUAACACGUGGAUAACCUACCUAUAAGACUGGGAUAACUUCGGGAAACCGGAGCUAAUACCGGAUAAUAUUUUGAACCGCAUGGUUCAAAAGUGAAAGACGGUCUUGCUGUCACUUAUAGAUGGAUCCGCGCUGCAUUAGCUAGUUGGUAAGGUAACGGCUUACCAAGGCAACGAUGCAUAGCCGACCUGAGAGGGGGAUCGGCCAACCUGGAACUGAGAACGGGUCCAAACCCCUAGGGGAGGCAGAAGGAGGGAAUCUUCCGCAAUGGGCGAAAGCCUGACGGGGAAACCCCGGGGGAGGGAUGAAGUUUUUGGGAUCGUAAAACUUUUUUAUUAGGGAAAAAAAUAUGUGAAAUUAACUGUGCACAUUUUGACGGUACCAAAGCAAAAAGCCACGGCUAACUCCGU